GCCUCCUUAGCUUAGUGGUAGAGCGUUGCACUUGUAAUGCAAAGGUCGUUAUUCAAUUCUGACAGGUGGCA
rnacentral:tRNA from 1 species